rnacentral:lncRNA from 1 species
GACAGAGCCUAAAUAUCCAGUGGAGCUAAGCUCAUGUCUAUGUGUGGCUGAUGCUCACUAUAAAGCCUACCCAGGCACCAACACAGUCAACGAACUUGGUCCCAUGGGGGCUCCCAGAGACUGAACCACCAACCAACGAGCAAGCAAGGGCUGGACCUAUGCCUCCCCUCAUAUAUGUAGCAGAUAUACAGCUUGGUCUUCAUGUGGGUCACUCAUCAACUGGAGCAGGGACUGUCCUUGAAUCUGUUGCCUGACUGUGGUUCCUGCUCUCCUAACUGGGUAGCCUCGAUUGGCCUCAGUGGGAGAUGAUGUGCCUAGUCCUGCAGUGAUUUGAUGUGCCAGGGUGGGGCAAUACCCAGGGAGGUCUCACCCUUCUCAGAAGCAGGAAGUGAGGAGAGGGACUAUGUGUGUGUGUGGUGGUGGUGGUGGUGGUGGGGAACCAGGAGAAAGGGGACUGCUAUUGUAAAGUUAAUUAAUUAAUUUUAAAAUGAGCCCUUCCAUGCAUGUUUUCUUGGGUUUUGUUUUGUUUUGUUUUGUUUUGUUUUGUUUUGUUUUGUUCUUGCAUGGUUUUCUGGGCCCUAAUGGUGGUUUUGUUAUUCCCUUUCCUUUUUUGCAAGAGAAGACUGUAUUGAUUACAUUUCCAAGCUCACCUCACAAUGUCACCCCCUCUGUUUUAUGUAAUCCUUUCUUAUCAUCUUAUAGCUGUUCUCCCCGCCCCUAGCCCCUCCCAAGAGGAUCCAUUCAACCUGAGAAACCUACAACAUCUGGUUUGAAUGUGCUUUUGUAAAAGGUGCACGGUUUUUUGCUUUGUGCCUAUCUAUUUUUAAAUCUCUAGCCUGGAUCUCAGGUUGUAUAUUUCUGCUUUCCUGGGGAAGCUGGCAAGGACUCCCCACUAUCCCACCCUCCCUUCCACCUCUGAGGAUAACUGAGGGCCAAGGGCGAUCUGCUGGUCCUGUGCUCUGCACAGGAUAAAAAAGCCGGAAGUGGCCACCCUCGCCGCCAACGGAAGCGAAUCACAGCGGAAAGAUGAAGCGCGGAACUCACUUCAUCCGAAUCCUGUUUUUUCCACAUUGUGUGGCUGCAGGAAAAUUACUCAUUCAAAACAAACAAACAAAAACUAACAAACAAACAAACAAAACCUCCACUUCUUGGUCCCAUAAAAUAAGGGGGAGAAUAAAUCAUUGAGGGUAUUGAAAAGGUUCUAUAAGAGAGGCUCAGAGCAAUAAGUCUUGCUUAAAUUCUAAGUAGAUGGCAGCUGAGUUUAGCGAGACUUACCUAGCAAAGCAUUCACAGAAGCAGAGCCCCCCGGGUCUUAUGUGGGAGAGAUAACUGGGAAUGAAAACCACAUGAGAAGCCUAGAGCUUUAAAGACAUGGACAGUGGAAAGUCACACAGCUAAAGAUCUGAUCAUUAAGCUUUAAAGUCCCCCGGGGUAAACGAUCCAGAAUAGAAACAUACAAGGGUCAAAACUGCUCUCCUCUACAAAACUGGUCUUCCACGUCUUCUUCUCUCCUCUCUCCCUCUCCUUCCCUUCCUUCCCUUUGUUAAACUAGGCACUAGCUUUCCUCAAUCCCAAAUAAAAGUCUCCCGCACCUGUAAAUAUGCCAACAAUCCGAUGUCAGCGUCAUCAGACUGCUGUACCCGGGCCAAUCUUUAUCCCAAUGUUUGCUAUUCAAGGAAACGUAGAGCUACAGAAAGUUAAUUAGUGCCUAAGAGGUCUAUAAAGGCCAUCUGCCCCACAACUCUUUUACAUUCGAGGACGCUGGGUACGUGAAGAAGCCUCUGCCACUGUCAUUUAUUUUGAGCAAUGUGUUCUGCUAGGCAUGCCACGAUCACGCACGCAACUCCACAACUGACACUCUGAUGUCUCCGAGUUCUGCAUGAAGACAGAAGCAGCUCAACAUUUCCAUAGAGCGAAGAAAUACUCUGCAAUCCCCUCUAGAGCUACUGUCCUAGAGAGGAAUACGGCUUAAACGCAGUCACGUGUUGCUGAACCCCAAAGCCUCUCCCAUCUCCUCACCAGUAACCUUUAAAGGGCAUACCCUGGGGAAACAAUGAUCCACAGCCAGUGCCCUUCAGCGACAUGAACUCUGGGCUGUGUGUCUAAGCAGCCGGAGCCAGGUGAGUCACAAAAGUCACGCCCAAAGCCACAAUGAUCAGAGCAGGAUUGUGAAAACCCCAACCCCGCCCCGCCCAUAGCAUUAGCUCAGGGACGCAAACUGUCCGCUUCCUCAAAGAGAUGGCUUUCAACAAGACUAAUGAUUCAUAUGAGAUCAGAAAAUCUGGUGUGCUUCUAUUUAUACCCUCCAAACUGGUUCAACUGCCCGUGCAAAGUGUUCACACAUGAGAUAGCAUCUGCUGACUUUCAGCAAUUGGAAAAUUACAUUUUUCUUUUGUUUCUUAAUAUAAUAUUUGUACAGUUGUGUUUAUUGUUUAGGUCAGUCUCUCUCUCUCUCUCUCUCUCUCUCUCUCUCUGUGUCUCUGUGUGUGUGAGAGGGAGAGACAGAGACAGAGACAGAGACAGAGACAGAGAAUAAAUAAUUUGAUUUUGUAUUUUUCACAUUAAGGUGACCAAAAAUAAUAAAUAUAUUGAAUCUUAUGAUUCCAGAAGAUUUCUAAAAUAGAUACAUUUGAAAUUUUCAUUGGUCUUACCACUCUGUCUGUACAAGAUGUAUACAGGAAUUUCUGAAAUUUUGUCAUACUUUUCUGCCUAAUUUCGGGUUGCAUAAGUUUCUUUCUAUCAAGUCAACUGCAUUUAUUAAGACAUAAUUAACCUAUUUCCACAUUUAAUCAUCUAAGAUAUAUAAAGCUCUAAUCACAGCUUUAGAUCAGCUUGUAAUCAAUGUUAUCAAACUGAAUUAAUUUGACUCUAAUCAAAAGCAAAAAAAUACCAUGACAUUCUAGUUAAUGAAGGCAGUUUUAUUUUCAGAAAUGUGCAAUGCCUGUGGAGCUUUUGGGGAAAAAAUGAAAAAAAAUUAAAAAUCCUUCUAGGCACAUUUAAAGACUCCCAGGGCCCAGAUUCCCCAAGAGGCAAACCAUAUCGGUGUAGAGUCUCAUAAGGGGCUGAAUACAGAAGUUAGAAGGCAAGGACACCUUUUAUUUGUAUGCAUUUCCCAAGAAAAAUGCUGAAAGCUGGGGUAUGAACACAGUGCUUGCCUUCUAACGUUUUCAUUUCCCCAUCAGAAAUAAGGGAGAGAACAUUUAAGAUAAAGAAAAGUAGCCAUCGACAGCUCCUUCACCCAGGGCUGAAAGCUAAUUAUGUAAGAGGAAAACAACCCGCUUAUUCUUCCUUCAAAGGAAACCUUGUGGUAUUAAUAGUUCCUCAUUUUCUUCCGAGCCUCAGAUAAACUCAAGCCGUUUGAGGAUUUAAAAAAAAUUCCAAAAUUUCAUCCGGGACAGAUUAGUGCUGUUUCAUGUGACUUGAAUUUAAUAAUCCUGGACUGAGGCAGGGGUGGGAGAAGAAUUCACCACCGGAGGAAGAAAUUAUUUUCAAUUAUGGAUCAGUGAACAAAGCCAGAAGUUUUGACUCAAACCCCAAAGAGAAUCAAUGUCCAUUUUAAUGGCAAACCAGCACAAUCGGUAUCAAUUUGUGGUCAAUUACACCCAUGGUUUUUUUUCUUGUUUCUACUUUGAGACUAGGUGUUCAGUGUGACUUGCCUGAAGAAAUAGCAUAUAAUUUGAUGGCUGGGCUCUAAGUAGAUCUGAAUGGAGCAGCAGCUCUCACCCUUCCUAAUGCUGCCGCCCUUUUAUACCGUUCCUCACGUUGUGGUGGCCCCCAACUGUACAAUUGCUUUUGUUGCUACUUCAGAACUGUACAUUUGAUACCCUUAAGAAUCCUAAUGUAAAUAUCGGAUAUGCAGGAUAUCUGCUAUGCGACCCCCAGUCGGAUCACAACCCACAGGUUGAGAACUGUUGAACUAGAAUCUCAUGAAUUAAGGAGGGAGUCAAAAAAUAAUUAAAAAAAAAAUUAAAAAGC